ensembl:snRNA U6 U6 spliceosomal RNA
GUGCUUGCUUUCAGAAACACAUAUACUAAAAAUGGAACAAUAUAGAAAAGCAUGGCCCCUGUGUAAGGAUGACACAAAUUUGUGAAGCAUUCCAUUUUUUU